UACGUAGGGUGCGAGCGUUGUCCGGAAUUAUUGGGCGUAAAGAGCUUGUAGGCGGUUUGUCGCGUCUGCUGUGAAAUCUCAAGGCUCAACCUUGAGCUUGCAGUGGGUACGGGCAGACUAGAGUGUGGUAGGGGAGACUGGAAUUCCUGGUGUAGCGGUGAAAUGCGCAGAUAUCAGGAGGAACACCGGUGGCGAAGGCGGGUCUCUGGGCAGUAACUGACGCUGGAGGAGCGAAAGCGUGGGGAGCGAACAGG
rnacentral:rRNA from 1 species